UGUAUAUAUAUAUAUGUAUGUGUGCGUGUAUGUUUGUGUGUCUGUGUUUGUCCCAUCCAGCAUCGCUUGACAACCGAUGCUGGUGUGUUUAUGUCCCCAUCACUUGGCGGUUUGGCAGAGGAGACCGAUGGAGUAGGUGCUGGGCUUGCAAGGAGUGGGUCCCGGGGUCGAGUUGUUCGAUUAAAGGCGGUGCUCCAGCAUAGCCGCAGUCAAAUGACUGAAACAAGUAAAAGAAUAAAAUAAUUGUUGA